CCGAAAUGUGUCCUCGGAGCGAUCAGGGUACUCAGAUCCGAUUAGCUCAUGACGAGUAGAGAAGGACGCGAUUUAUUUACUUGUGAUUUAUAUUUCAAAUCAUAUUAAUACGAAUCAGGCAAAAUAUAUAGAUACUUGAAAAUCAGUAUGGAAUGUGAACAAGAGAAAAACCUAUGUGAACAGAAUCAAUACGAAAACGAUAAAUAUCGAUGGACUACAUAAACAACAAAACUUCUAAUAGAAGAAAUCAAAGAGUAUAUUUUAAAUUUAAAUAAAAAGUCGACCAUCUAAAAAAAAGUAUGGAAGGAAAUAGCGAGUAACUUCUAUAAAAGAGGUUACAAAGUUACUGACGAACAGUAUUCUAUUAAAUGGAAAAAUCUAAAACAAAAAUACAAAUCAGUACUGGAUGCAAACAAUAAGACUGGUAGAGCUAAAACAUCAUGGGAAUAUUUUGAUAUAAUAGACGAUUUCAUGAAUAUCACACCCGGAAUACAACCCAUAUCACUGGCUUCUAGCACACAUGGAUUUCGCCUGCACAAACGAACUGUAGAUACAGAAAAUAUUGAAUCCGACGAAGAAAAAGAAAAUGUGGCACCCGAAAAUUCUAAUAUUAUAAGACAUAUCAGUAAACGUUCAAGAAAGGAAGAUUUAGCUUCAUACUAUAAAAAGCUUUAUGAACAAAGAGAGAAGCAUCAUAAUGAAAAUAUAGAAAUAAAAAAUAAAUUUUCGACACUAUUUCAAGAAUAUUUAAAGAGAUAAUAUAACGUUCAAGA